UCAGUUUCUGUCUACCUAAUCCACUUACAAGGUUUUGGUUGGUCCAAGGUUAUAGCAGACCCUUGCCCAGAACCCGCAAGCUACUUACCACACAGCCAC